CUCUCUCUCUCUCUCUCUCUCUCCCUCUAUAUAUAUAUAUAUAUAUAGUCCGGUUAUUAUAUUGUUAUGAGUAUGAGUAUAGACUUUUUUAUAUUUAUAAAUUUUUAGCCGUUAAAUUUAUCCCGUUAACUAUUUCUAUCUUUUAGAUUAUGCUAUUCAAAUAAUCACCCAUUCAAUCCUAGGUGACCACCAUCAUGCAUCCUAACCGUACAUCUCUCAUCUCUUCAUCCAACAAUCGAAAACGUAAGUACAACGGGGUCUACAUUUAUAAAAUAUAGUAGUCGGACUCUCUCUCUCUCUCUCUCUCUCUCUCUCUCUCUCUCUCUCUCUCUCUCUCUCUCUAUAUAUAUAUAUAUAUAUAUAUAUAUAUAUUU
rnacentral:lncRNA from 1 species